rnacentral:misc_RNA from 1 species
UUAGUUCAGGAAACGGAGUCAACCUCGCGACAUUGGCGUUACAUUGAAAAUACUUAGGUACUAAAACUAAAGUUCUAAGAAAGUUAGUUUAAGUUAAUUUUGUGACGCAAUUAAUAUUUAUUUUAUCUUAAUUAAUAAUAUGGUGUUUAAUGGACAAAGUGUAUGCUGUUUUUGAAUGUAUAUUUUGGAGUUUACACGGAUUAAUAAGUAUUAAACAACAUAACUACAUGAUAAGACAAAUUAGCAAUGGUUCUACUGACGAGAAGAGACGCUAUUAACGCCAGGAUUACGAGCAAAAAUAAAAUCCUGGCAGUAUUGUUAACGGGAGUCGUGUUCCUGAUAGUACCAAUACUGAUCGUCAUACUAGACCCCAUACAUCUAAUCAUCAAAUAUAAACUUCGGCUAACCAAAGGCUCGAUCUUAUACGAGCUGCUGCAGCAAGAGAUGCAGGCAGGUCGCCUGUCGAUCUACGUGUUCAACAUCACCAACAGCGAUAGGUUCCUCAGCGGCGAGGACUAUAAGCUGAAGGUGGAGGAAGUCGGACCCUUUGUGUUUCAAGAAUACCGCUGGUAUGAGGAUCUAGAGCCAAGCGAGGAUGGCACAAGGAUGGCAAUGACGGCGAAGGUCAGGACGGAGUUCAUCCCAGAAGCUUCUCUAGCACAUCCGAAAGAUGUCAUCCUCAGGCUGCCUAACUUACCACUUCUUAGUUCAGCAUCACUUUUGUCCAACUACCCUAGCUUCAUCCGCACAGCCUUCAACUUAAUGAUAACUCCUUUAGGAGCCAAACCCUUCCUGAACUUGGAUGUCCACAAUUUUUUGUGGGGCUAUAACAAUCCUAUCAUCAAGAUCCUCAACGGUCUGGCUCCUGGAGUCGUGUAUUUUGAUAGUUUUGGACUUCUUGAUAGGCUAUACGACAACACAUCAGAUUAUAGAAUAGAAGUGGGUGCUACCGACAAGGAUAGGUUCGAGAUCAAGUGGGUGAAGAAAUAUAGACAUAUCAAGAUGGGAGGCAUCGAGGAUGUUGAAGAAAGUAUACAAACAUUCAACAACACAUACGAAGCAGAAGGCUACCCACCGAACUUGACCCCAGAAGUUCCCAUCAACUUCUACCGGCUAGGCGUCUGCAGGACCUUCGCCCUGCAGUACAUUAGCAGCAGGAUCAUGGACUAUGGAGGAGAGGCUCUCAUAUACACCAUUAGCAAUGACACCUUCAUGGGAGAAGUCGAUCCCAUUACUCUGAAGCCCUAUCCUUAUGGUGUCAUCGACAUUUCUAAGUGUUAUUAUGGUUUACCAUUCGUCUUGUCAAAAUCACACUUCAUAGACUCGGAUCCUAUAUUACGAGAACGCCUUGAUGGACUGAAUCCUGACAGAGACGUGCAUAUCAAUGAAGUGGCUAUAGACAGAAAAGUAAGUGUGACUUACAAAACGAAGCUGUCGCUCCAGGUCAGCAUGAUGGUAGACGACGUGAGCUUCAACAGUAUGACCAAGAUGCUGUCCAACACUGUGAUACCCAUCACCUAUGCUAGAGUGGAUCAACCAAAACUACCAGAAUGGAUGAUGAGCAAGCUAAUACUGGUGUACCAAAAAGCCCCCAUCGUGGUGAAGUGUAUUAUAGUAGUAAUGUUCCUUAUAAGCAUAGCACUCAUAUUUCAUGCAGGACGCUUGGUAUACCUGAACAGGCUAACCAGAAGUAAAGUGAUGGUCUUCAAACAAACUGCUGGAAAGAUCUUGGAGAAAGCUGAACGGCCUCUCAUGAGGAAUUGACGAUCAAAAGUGAUAAUAUUUUGAUGAUUGAUGAUAAUAUUAUGAGAUAUUAUUCUUUCUGUGUGCUGACGCUGGUGAAACCGUCACUAUAGUUCGGCCAUUCAGAGAAUGCGUUCCUGACACGUCGCGAUUGAACUGACGACGU